GAUGAACGCUAGCGGCAGGCCUAACACAUGCAAGUCGAGGGGCAUCACGGAUUGCUUGCAAUCUGGUGGCGACCGGCGCACGGGUGCGUAACGCGUAUACAACCUACCUUUUGGAGGGGAAUAGCCCAGAGAAAUUUGGAUUAAUACCCCAUAGUAUAUAGGAAUCUCCUGAUUUUUUAUAUUUAAACAUUUUAUGGCUAUUAGAUGGGUAUGCGUCCUAUUAGCUAGUUGGUAAGGUAACGGCCUACCAAGGCGAUGACGGGUAGGGGACCUGAGAGGGUGGUCCCCACACUGGCACUGAAACACGGGCCAGACACCUACGGGUGGCAGCAGUAGGGAAUAUUGGACAAUGGGCGAGAGCCUGAUCCAGCCAUGCCGCGUGCAGGAAGACUGCCCUAUGGGUUGUAAACUGCUUUUACAGAGGAAGAACCACCCCCACGUGUGGGGGGUUUGACGGUACUCUGCGAAUAAGGAUCGGCUAACUCCGUG
rnacentral:rRNA from 1 species